rnacentral:tRNA from 1 species
GCCGGAAUGGCGGAACUGGUAGACGCACGAGACUCAAAAUCUCGCGAGCUUCACAGCUUGUAAGGGUUCAAGUCCCUUUUCCGGCA